rnacentral:rRNA from 1 species
UCCAGAGAUGGAUUGGUGCCUUCGGGAACUGUGAGACAGGUGCUGCAUGGCUGUCGUCAGCUCGUGUUGUGAAAUGUUGGGUUAAGUCCCGCAACGAGCGCAACCCUUAUCCUUUGUUGCCAGCGGUUCGGCCGGGAACUCAAAGGAGACUGCCAGUGAUAAACUGGAGGAAGGCGGGGAUGACGUCAAGACAUCAUGGCCCUUACGACCAGGGCUACACACGUGC